rnacentral:lncRNA from 1 species
ACCAUUCCUUUUAGACAUUCCAUGGAAGGUAUGCAGUAUUGAUAACAUGGACCUUUGCUGUUCAGGUUGUACUUUCAGCAUUCAUCAUCACAAAGAAAGAGGAGGUUCAGCAACUAUGGCAUGACAAAAUUGAUUUUGUCAUUUCUGAGUAUGGAUCUAAAGAUAAGCCUGAAGAUAUAACCAAGUGGACUAUUCUGAAUGCCUUACAGAAAACAUUACAGUGUUGUGGCCAACAUAAUUACACAGACUGGAUAAAGAAUAAGAACAAAGAAAAUUCAGGACAGGUGCCAUGUUCUUGCACAAAGUCAACUUUAAGAAAAUGGUUUUGUGAUGAGCCACUGAAUGCAACUUACCUUGAGCCUUCCUUGAGAAGUCCUGCAGAAAGAGGAGGCACUUCUGUCAAAG